GAUGAACGCUGGCGGCGUGCCUAAUACAUGCAAGUCGAGCGAACAGACGAGGAGCUUGCUCCUCUGACGUUAGCGGCGGACGGGUGAGUAACACGUGGAUAACCUACCUAUAAGACUGGGAUAACUUCGGGAAACCGGAGCUAAUACCGGAUAAUAUAUUGAACCGCAUGGUUCAAUAGUGAAAGACGGUUUUGCUGUCACUUAUAGAUGGAUCCGCGCCGCAUUAGCUAGUUGGUAAGGUAACGGCUUACCGAGGCAACGAUGCGUAGCCGACCUGAGAGGGUGAUCGGCCACACUGGAACUGAGACACGGUCCAGGCUCCUACGGGAGGCAGCAGUAGGGAAUCUUCCGCAAUGGGCGAAAGCCUGACGGAGCAACGCCGCGUGAGUGAUGAAGGUCUUCGGAUCGUAAAACUCUGUUAUUAGGGAAGAACAAAUGUGUAAGUAACUAUGCACGUCUUGACGGUACCUAAUCAGAAAGCCACGGCUAACUACGUG
rnacentral:rRNA from 1 species